UACGAAGGGGGCUAGCGUUGUUCGGAUUUACUGGGCGUAAAGCGCACGUAGGCGGAUUGGUCAGUUAGAGGUGAAAUCCCGAAGCUCAACUUCGGAACUGCCUUUAAUACUGCCAGUCUAGAGUCCGGAAGAGGUAAGUGGAACUCCUAGUGUAGAGGUGGAAUUCGUAGAUAUUAGGAAGAACACCAGUGGCGAAGGCGGCUUACUGGUCCGGUACUGACGCUGAGGUGCGAAAGCGUGGGGAGCAAGCAGG
rnacentral:rRNA from 1 species